ACAUUUCAAAAACAGCUGAUGGGGCGGCGGUGCGUGUGCACAUGUUAUGCUGAUGUUGCGCGAUGUUAAACAUGCGGCGCCCGAGUGCAUUUGACCGGCAUUAAAUUGACAUAUGUCAGUCUGACUUGCCUCAAAAGAUUGAGA